AACAAGGUUUUGUACAUUGUAAAUGGCACAAGAGAAUGUGUGGAGUGAGUUUAUGUUUAGCAUGUUUAGGGAUUUAAACAGAGGGGCCUGUGUGUUGUCUGAAAACAGAGUUUGUUAAUGUUCUGAUAGCAGGUUUUUGCACAUAGGCUCAAUCACUAGGGCUGUAAGAGGAGAUGCAAGCAGAAGGGUGGUGUGUAGUGCAGCAGUAUUGGGGACAGGGAGAAGCAUGAUGGCAGCUAGUCAGACUGGUCAGGGCAAGAAGGAGCUAUUGUUUAGUCUGCAUUAUCCUGGAGGCAGAAAAAGAGUUUGCAGAGCAUGCUGCAGCAGAGAAGAUUUUGAAGGCAGCCUUAUAUCUUGAAGACCGAAACAAGGCAGAGACAUUCCAGCGAGGAGGAACAAGUCAUUCACUUACUAUUAUAUCUUUAAGUCUACAAUCAAAUGAUUCCAACAGGCUUGCAUCUGCCUUAGAAUCUCGAGUUGGCCACCAUACUAAUAUGCGCUACCCUUCGUUCCAAGGAUGUCCUUGCGACUACUAUACAACUGAUGAUGCUAACUAUAUGCUGAGCACGACGGAAGAGUUAAUGCAAUUGCUUAGACCUCAUUUUGUAAGUUAGCAAAGUAAUUUUUUAAAUGCAAUACAAUCUUGCUGUUGGGUGAACUGAGAACCGUGAUGAAGAAGAAAAAAUAUGAUAAAAAGAUACUCUAUUGAGAAUAACGUUUGGCAUUUAAAUGUUUUCUUGAUCAGAGAUAACAUAGCCACAUAGUCCUUACAUGCAAAAUGUCAUUGCCAAUAAAGUUGAUUCUUGAUCGUUUCUCACAAUUAAAAUCCAACAGUAACAUAAAUGUGAAAAAUAACUAUUCAGUAUAACAGUAUUAUAUUAAUUUCCAUUUAAUGAAUGGUACAAUCAUACAAUGAAUUAGUAAUCAUUUAAAGCAAUUGCACUGAAGUAAGAGUACUGUACAGUGAUGUCUACAUUAUCUGGCAUCUGGUAUCAGUGUGUUACCAGAUGCACUUCUGUUUCACUAAGACAAGACACACCUUUAUCUUAUUUUACUAGCAAUGAACACAUGAAACAGGCGAAUAGAAAUAUGUGAGUAAUCUUAAUUCUAAACACAUUUGAGGUUAUUUGUACAAAAUCACAAGGAAUAUAAUGUUACAAUGUAAACAAUUUAAUUGUUACAUUUUUGUAUGUUUUUCAUUACUGCAAAUCUUAAUUAUUAGAACUUACCUCAUUUAUAUUCACUCAUAAUUUGGAUAAUUGAUGCAAGAGUGAUCAUAACCAGAGUGUACUCUGGUUGUAACUGGACUUGGUGUACUCCGGUUGUAACUGGACUUGGUGUACUCUGGUUGUAAUUGGACUUGAUGUACUCCAGUUGUAACUGAACUUUGUGUACUCCAGUUGUAACUGGACUUUGUAUACUCUGGUUUUAACUGAUCUUGGUGUACUCUGGUUGUAACUGGACUUUGUAUACUCUGGUUUUAACUGAUCUUGGUGUACUCUGGUUGUAACUGGACUUUGUGAACUCUGGUUGUAACUGAACUUGGUGUAUACCUAUUGCAACUGCACUUAUAUUCCCGUUACAAGUGGACUAGGUGUAUUAUUGCAACUGAACAUGACACAUUCCUGUUGCGGUUGUAUUUGGCAUAAUCCUGUUGCAACUUUAAACAAUGGCCUGUUUCAGAUAACAUACAAGGGGUAUUUAUGAGGUUGAGAGACUUACCAAAUGACUUUAAAAUUUCAAUAAUGUAUUUACAAUUUUGAAUCUUAUAAAUAUGACUAAGGACAAAUUCUUUGAAAAAAAAAAAAUUCAGGAUUGAUAAUCAUAAUUUAAUUCCUGAGCAACUUCCAAUAUUUGAAGUGAUGAAUUCUUUCAUUAUAAGGUUAUUAUGGCUAUCCUGAUAAUUUAAAAAUUUUGUUGAAUUUUCAUCACUAUUUUAAGUAAGUUAAGAACACCACUGGGUAUUGUCUCGAUCUCAUUUUCUUUUCAAUAUAAAAUGUAACAACAGAGCAAAACUUCACAGUCAUUUUGAUUACACAACAAUUAUUCUCUGCCAAUUAAACAAUUAUGUAAGCAAAUCCAGGCAAGUACAACUAGUUGAGUGCACCACCUACCAGCAAGCUUGGCACUUGCUGCAAUAUCUACCUAAAUAACUUCUAUAUUCUUCAUCUCACUACUUCUCACCACUUACACCACUGUACCUACUCUUCUCAUGCAAUGCUGCUUUGUUAAUAUAAACAUGCCCGAAAUUAAUUAAAUAAUGCCCGAAACUUAAUUAAUUAAGUUAGAAAUUAAUGCCCGAAACGCUUUGCGUAAUAGUGGCUUUAGGCAUUGUAUGUACUAGCUCUACCUAUAAGUCAACCAAUCCUUGUAAAAAUUUAUUGUAUGUAUGUACCUUACCUAAAUAAAAUUGUAUUGUAUUGUAUUACAUGUGUGAGUUAUAGUAGCAAAUGAAGACAUUUAUAUUUUUCUUAAUAUGGUAUAAAACAGGUGUUAAAUUGUUGUAAAUUCAUAAAAAUGCAUUAA